UUAAAGGCUGUGAUUAAAAGGAGUAGACCGCAAAUUAUUUUCAGAGAGCCUGUGUUCGGUGUAAACAGGUAUUGAUUACGGUUGAAUGUAGUUUAUGAGCCCGCAUUGCGAAAUUAAGUAGUUGUGCGCGUAUAUCUGCGUUAAAGAUUUGAGCGGUCGCAUCAUUUAUGCGGCAAUUUGAGUGGUAACACGGUUAUUUAUACCGCCUCAUUG
rnacentral:ncRNA from 1 species